rnacentral:tRNA from 1 species
AGCGGGAUGGCGCAGAGGAAGCGUGCCUGGCUCAUAACCAGGAGGUCCCAGGAUCGAAACCUGGUCCCGCUA